UCCCCCCUCCCCUGCCCUGGCCGCCAUCUUGCGGCUGGGGGAGCUGCGGCUGGGGGGGGAGGAGGGGGACCCCCCCGAGGGGGCCGAAGGGGCGGGGCCUCCGCCUGACCCCGCCCCCGGGACGAGGAGCCUUGGGAGGAGGAGGAGGAGCUGGAGGAGGGGGCGCUGUGGGCCGUGACCCCCUGCGGGAGUGCCCCCACCUCGGGGCGGUGGCGCCGCCGCCCGGGGGGGCCGGGCUGGAGGGGACCCCCCCCUGCGGGGCCUGCGGGAGCCGCCGCGAGAACUGGCUCUGCCUCAGCUGCCACCAGGUGCUUUGCGGGCGCUAUGUUGGGGGGGCACAUGGUGGCACACGGGGAGGGGUCCGGACACCCCCUGGUGCUGAGGUCUGCGCGACCUCUCGGCCUGGUGCUACCCCUGCGGGGGCUACGUCCACCACCCCGUCCUUCUUCCCACCAAGACCCUUCUCCAUCGCCUCAAAUUUGGCGUCGACCCCCCCUCUUUUUAAACCCCCCCCAAAAAAAUCCUCUUUCUAAGGGCUAUACCUGUGCUAGCCCCCCCCCCCCCGCAAUCACCA